CUGAACGAUUUGAUUAUAUUAUUACAAUACGUAAUAAAAUAAAGUGUUAUAGACAUUUUAUAUUACCCAUUUAGAAUUUUAUAAUAAAAUCGACAACCACACAAUUUCAAUAGCUUAAAAGCUUGGCUCUAUAUCAUUUUAAAGUUGCAUAUAGUUCCUGUAUUGCCCUUUCCCCAUAGUAUACAAGGUUACAUUAUCGUCAAUAAUCCAACCUUCAGUAUGGUUGAUAUGGUAGUUAGUUGGUGGUGGCAGGUAUUAUGUAUUGUGUACAGUAAUCCUUUAUCGAACGCGUUCUGGGACGUAUUGUAGGAAUUCUAGUAGCAAUUGAAGCGAACGUUCAAGAUAUGAAUAGAUGUUAAGUAUGUUGACUUGGGCUCAUGAAGUAAUUCCAUUCAUCGUUGAAAGAACGUUUUUGUCUUCAUUUAUUGACAUACAUAAUUUUCUUAAUAUAAACAACAGAAUUCCAUAGUUUCGAAAUGAUAACUUCAAUUCGCGGUUCGGGAUCGUAAAUUAUUUAAAAUUUUCCGUUAUUAUUUCUUUUCUUUACUCGCGAAAACAUUAAUAAAAUUAACCACAUGAAUUUGAAUAAGCGUACGAAAUUUUAUGCAUCUAAAAAAAAGAUUUCUUUUUCGACCAUGGUCAAGAAAUAUGUUUUUGUAUUUUCAUUACUAAUGGCUUUUAACAUCAGCUUUCAUUUAAUAAAAUACGUCGAUUUCGCGAAUCGAGACGAUCGAGAGGAUUGGCACAAAAAAACUUGUGAAAUGAUCGAAUUAAUCAAAGAAGGAUUAUGCAAUACGUGGAAUGUGUUAAGAAAAACAAUUUGUCGCCAACCGGUGUAUAAACCGCAACCGUUUUAUAUGCAUAUUUGGAACUAUCUUCUCGGUAUUGAACAUGAUGAUGGUUGUCCAAGAAACAUUUUCGAUUUGUUAAGAAUUUAAUAAAAAAUUAAUAA